GGACAAACGGUUUAUGUCGCUCUGCCGCCUGGCGCAACAGGUGAUUUGCCAGUAGCGGAAUGUCUUCUGUGCGCUCCGCCAGUGCCGGAAUUUUCAGGCUGACAACGUUGAGGCGGUAAUAGAGAUCUUCGCGGAAUUCCCCGCGCGCCAUCGCUUUUGGCAGAUCACGGUGAGUGGCAGAAAUAAUCCGCACAUUGAUAUCAAUAUCGCGGUUACUGCCCAGCGGGCGCACUUUACGCUCCUGCAACACGCGCAGCAGUUUGACCUGUAACGGCGCAG
rnacentral:misc_RNA from 1 species